GGAGAGGGAGGGAGGGAGGAGGGAGGAGGCGGAGACGGGAGAGGGAGGGAGGAGGCUAGGGUUUUUCUGCUGUCGAGCAGUUGAACCCGAAAACUUUAGCCGACGAAAUAAUUAUUUCGUCCGCUAAAGCUAAGAAUCUCGUCGGCUAAGAAUCAAUUCGUCGGCUAAACCUUCUAAAUUCGUCGGCUAAAACUUUGAAAUUCGUCGGCUAAACCUUUGAAAUUCGUCGGCUAAAGUAUUUUAUACAUUUGGCACAUUGUGAUUGUGAUGAUCAAACUUGAGAAAAAGAAAUCCGACCGUCAGAUCUGACCACCAUGACAAAAUACAUGUAUGACCAAAAAUUCAACUUGAUCCGACAAGAAUAAGGGCUCGAUCCGGACGGUCAAUCUCCUAAGUCAAACCCCUAAACGCACGGAAAAGGUCGUUCGACCGUCUAAAUUACGUAUUUUGGCCGGACCUUCAACUGAAAAUAGUUUUAAAUCGAUGAGACGCAACAAGUUGUAUAACAAUUUUACGCAAAAUAACCACCGAAUAUAGGGCUACUCAUAGGGCGAAAGAAUAAAAAAUUGCAUUGACCGCAACUAUCGGCACCGAAUAUUUACCGGAAUAGUGUGAUUUUUCAACCGUGGAUGUAUUUCAACAUUCUCGUCAUAUCUUAUUUCAUGACUUUUUUGCGUUUGAAGGUUUUACGUAUAGUUUGUUUUUGAAACGGAACAUUUACAUAACACUUGGUAAACAAGUUAUACAACAUUAGUAUGCAUGUUGUGAUUGUGAUGAUCAAACUUGAGAAACAGAAAUCCGACCGUCAGAUCUGACCAUCAUGACAAAGUACAUGUAUGGGAAAAAAUUCAACUUGAUCCGAAAAGAAUAAGGGCUCGAUCCGGACGGUCAAUCUCGUAAGUCAAACCCCUAAACACACGGAAAAGAUCGUUCGACCGUCUAAAUUACGUAUUUUGGCCGGACCUCCAACUGAAAAUAGUUUCAAACCGAUGAGACGCAAGAAGUCGUCUAAAAAUUUUACGGAAAAUAACCACCGAAGAUAGGGCUAUAGUAGGUAAUAGAAAAAUUUUAGGGUUUAACCGACGAAUACCCUAACGUAUUCGUCGGCUAUAGUAUGUAAUUAAAAAAUUAAAAAAUAACUAAAGCCGACGAAAUAUUAGGUUAUUCGUCGGCUAAACCGUAUUAGCCGACGAAAUACACUAUAAUUUGUCGGCUAAGAUGGGUUUAGCCGACGAAAUACACUAUAAUUUGUCGG
rnacentral:lncRNA from 1 species